GAAAAAAGAGGAAAACAAAGAAGGGAAUACAUAAAGGAGCAAAAGUAGGCUAAAAACUUGAUUAAACCCCACCACUACUGCAUUUUAUUACAACUACGAAAAAGGAAGAUUAAGCGUUGGAAGAUGGCUGGGAAUGAUGGUUCAUGUGGAAGAAAAGGUUCAAUAACUCAUGUAAUCUUUGACAUGGAUGGCCUUCUUCUAGACACCGAGAAAUUCUAUACGGAGGUCCAGGAGAUUAUACUUGCUAGGUAUAAUAAGACUUUUGAUUGGUCACUCAAGGCAAAGAUGAUGGGAAAGAAGGCAAUAGAGGCUGCCAGGGUCUUUGUUGAAGAGACAGGAAUAAGUGAUUCGCUUACAGCUGAAGAUUUUCUUGUUGAGAGAGAGGAAAUGUUGCAGAAUAUGUUUCCCACAAGCGACCUAAUGCCAGGGGCCAGCCGCCUGAUUCAUCACCUUCAUGAAAAUGGGAUACCAAUUUGUGUUGCUACGGGUACUCACACGCGGCACUUUGAUUUGAAAACUCAAAGACACAGUGAGCUUUUUUCGCUGAUGCAUCAUAUCGUCCGUGGUGAUGAUCCAGAAGUUAAACAAGGGAAGCCCUCACCUGAUAUAUUCCUUGCAGGUGCAAACAGAUUUGAGCCGUUGGAGCCCUUCGAAGAUGGAGUUAAUGCACUAGAUUGGUGGAGGAACAACAGAAGGCAAUUUCCCGUUCUUUCAACAAUGGCUAGAGAUGUGCUGAAUGUUCCAAUGUCAACUAUUGCAUCAGAAAACGCAUUUAGCCAAGGAAGGCAGCAGCUCGGAGACAACCUACACUCAUUGGGCAGCAACGCAAUGAUGUCCUAGUAUGUUUCAGAGAUUGGAUUAGAUAGAAGCGAAGAAAUCAAGGAAGAGAGCAAGAUCCAAGAGAAGACCAACAAGUUGAAGAUAUAAUGUCAGUUGGAGACCAACGAUCAACUACCUACUAUCCUUCUACCCUAAUCCGUGUCCUCCAUAACCUCCUAUCUACGGUCAUGUCCUCGGUAAGCUAGAACUGCGCCAUGUCCUGUCUAAUCACUUCUCCCCAAUACUUUUUCAGCCUACCUCUACCUCUCUUGAAUCCUGUUAUGGAAUUAGUAUGAAUCCUAUCCUAUUUCAAUCCUAAGGCUGAAUCAGCUAGAGUCAGAAUGUGGGUAUAUAAUGGUGGACCGGUAGAUUCACAGAGGAUUCUUGUAUUUGAAGAUGCGCCCUCUGGUGUCCUUGCAGCCAAGAAUGCUGGAAUGUCAGUGGUUAUGGUUCCAGAUGCAAGGUUGGAUAGUUCAUAUCAUCAAGUUGCUGAUCAAGU